rnacentral:tRNA from 1 species
GGUGGGUUGUAAUUCCAUUCAUGGGGUGUAAGUCCCCUCUUUACA